AUGGACACCUGGAGGAGGUGGCCCCAUCGUGGACACCUGGAGGAGGUGGCACCAUCGUGGUCACCUGAAGGAGGUGGACACCAGGAGGAGGUGUCUCAUCAUGGACAUCUGGAGGAGGUGGCCCCAUCAUGGACACCUGGAGAAGGUGGACACCAGGAGAUGUCCCCAUCAUGGACACCUGGAGAAGGUGGACACCAGGAGAUGUCCCCAUCGUGGACACCUGGAGGAGGUGCCCCCAUCGUGGACACCUGGAAGAGGUGGACACCAAGAGGAGGUGGCCCCAUCAUGGAUACCUGGAGGAGGUGGACACCAGGAGGAGGUGUCUCAUCAUGGACACCAGAAGGAGGGGGACACCAGGAGGAGGUGUCCCAUUGUGGACACCAGGAGAAGGUGGCCCCAUCAUGGACACCUGGAGAACGUUCCCAUCAUGGACACCUGGAGGUGUCCCUUCAUGGAUACCUGGAGGAGGUGGACACCAGGAGGAGGUGGCCCCAUCAUGGACACCCAGAGGAGAUGGACACCUGGAGGAGGUGGCCCCAUAUGGACACCUGGAGGUGUCCCAUCGUGGAUACCUGGAGGAGGUGGACACCAGGAGGUGUCUCAUCAUGGACACCAGGAGGAGGGGGACACCAGGAGAAGGUGGCCCCAUCAUGGACACCUAGAGGAGGUGGCCCCAUCGUGGACACCUGGAGGGGGGCAGAACUGGGACGGUACUGGGAGCCCCUGGGUGAUAUUGGGAGCUACUGGGAGGUGCCAGGGCAGAACUGGGACGGUACUGGGAGCCCCUGGGUGGUACUGGGAGUUACUGGGAGGUGGCAGGGCAGAAGUGGGACAGCACUGGGAGCCCCUGGGUGGUACUGGGAGUUACUGGGAGGUGGCAGGGCAGAACUGGGACAGCACUGGGAGCCCCUGGGUGGUACUGGGAGUUACUGGGAGGUGGCAGGGCAGAACUGGGAUGGCACUGGGAGCCCCUGGGUGGUACUGGGAGCUACUGGGAGGUGGCAGGGCAGAAGUGGGACGGCACUGGGAGCCCCUGGGAGCUACUGGGAGUUACUGGGAGGUGGCAGGACAGAACUGGGAUGGCACUGGGAGCCCCUGGGUGAUACUGGGAGUUACUGGGGGCACUGGGGAACCCCGUGUCUGCGGGUGAUGGGGCUACGGGGUGGUACUGGGAGCCCCCGGGUGAUGCUGGGGGGGGUACUGGGAGUUACUGGGAGGACUGGGGGGUACCCA
rnacentral:lncRNA from 1 species